AAAAACACGAAUCAAUUCAUAUUUUUGCGUAACCUACGUGGUAGGUUUGUGUGUGGACCUGCUUAGAAGUCCCGUGAAAGUAAAGAGGAAGGGAAAAUAAUUUCCUAUUCCCCAAUACAUUAACGUGUUCGUCUUGUUAAAAGAAAGGUGUCAACAUGGAUUUUCUUUUUAAAACUGUACUGAUUGGCGCGGCGGUUGUGGCGGCGGUGGCAGCCGUGGCCUCCGAGUGGUGGCGUCACCGUAAUGUGCCGGCAUCCUACACCACUACAGGAAGGAGGAACAGAAAUUAGGGAGCAAUUUCAAGACAUCAUUCAAUAUUUUUUUUGUAUUUUUUAUUUUAUUCUACAACAUCUAUAUGAGCAAUAUUUUAAUCGAUAUUAAUCUUAAUUUCUAAUCUUUAAUUUCAAUUACAUUUUGUUUAACAGAUAUUAAACUUAUAAAAUGGGAUAGACGGACUUCAUUAAGUUCAUUCACUCACAUCGUGGAUAAAGAUUAGUACCUAUUUGUAUAGCAAGUAGGUAUCUGUCAAAAAUAAUUUUAUAAUUUUUAGAGAAAUAUAAUUUUAUAAGUUAAAAUGUAUCAUGUUUACAAAUUGUAAGGGAAGGAACAUAAAUGCUUUUUUAUUGAAAAAAGUGUUUUUGAAAAAUAAAACCGAAUUAAUUUAAAAUAUUUUACGAAUUAUUUACGAUUUGACCAUCUAUAAGUUUAAAUAAUUAAAAAAUAAGUCAGACUAGGUAGAUUUUUUAUUUACAAAUAUUUUCUUACCAUAGAGUUAUUGUGAUUGUAGUAUUCCGUCCAACGAAUAAAAUUGAUUGCAAUUAAAAAACAAAGAUUCUGAACGGAAUUCUGGGGUGGGAAAACAGACUUCCUACUCUGGCUCCACGCUUCGUAUGCCCGUGUCAGUCGCUGCAAAGUAUCAACCUGGGGAGUUUGGCCAGAAGACUGACAGCAGUAUUUGUUUUCUCUUUCGCAUUUCCAUCUGCGCCUUUAUUAUUCUUUUUUAUAUUUUUAAAUUAAAAAACAAGGAACGGAGUAAAAAAAAGAUAAGCAAUAAUCAAUCGGUGAAUGAAAAUUUAUCAUUGCUUCAUAUAGUAGUUGAGAUUGAAAAUGUAUUUUAUUAAUAUGUAUUGAUGCGUAAUAAAAAUAAUAUAUCAUUU
rnacentral:lncRNA from 1 species